AUGCUUGCCUGUGCACAUGUGAAUGCAUGUAUGUGUGCAUACUCACACAGUAGUUUUAACUUAAAUAUUUUUCUUUAACAAAAUACAGAGAGUUCAUUGACUGUAGAUAAAACUUGAGCACCAUAUAAAUCUAGGAGAAAAAGAGCUUUGAAGAAAUGCUUCACCUUUUCCCCAGGAGUCAACUCAGUGACCCAACCUGCUUCUGAUGGGAGAGGACGUAUUCAUCACCACACACCUCCGCUAAUUUCCCAGCAAGUAAUUGACAACAUUAUUGAGGGAACUUCAUGAAGCUCACUGCAGGUAAAGAUGCCUAAUCCUUUACUAGAAAUAUCUUGACUGGGCCUUCAGCUUUUAUUGCCCAUUACAAUGUUUGUCCUUCAGGAGAUCAAUUGCUUGCAUUGAAAAAUGUGGCAGUAUAAUACUUCAGCUAUAAACAUCUUUUUUCCUUAAUGAGGAGGAGAAGAAAACAAAACUAGUAUUCUAUACUGAGCCUCACUAAGACAGUUUGGAACACUUUAUCUCAGUCAGUUUA
rnacentral:lncRNA from 1 species